rnacentral:rRNA from 1 species
AUGAACGCUGGCGGCGUGCCUAAUACCUGCAAGUCGCGCGAACAGACGAGGAGCUUGCUCCUCUGAUGUUAGCGGCGGACGGGUGAGUAACACGUGGAUAACCUACCUAUAAGACUGGGAUAACUUCGGGAAACCGGAGCUAAUACCGGAUAAUAUAUUGAACCGCAUGGUUCAAUAGUGAAAAACGGUUUUGCUGUCACUUAUAGAUGGAUCCGCGCCGCAUUAGCUAGUUGGUAAGGUAACGGCUUACCAAGGCAACGAUGCGUAGCCGACCUGAGAGGGUGAUCGGCCACACUGGAACUGAGACACGGUCCAGACUCCUACGGGAGGCAGCAGUAGGGAAUCUUCCGCAAUGGGCGAAAGCCUGACGGAGCAACGCCGCGUGAGUGAUGAAGGUCUUCGGAUCGUAAAACUCUGUUAUUAGGGAAGAACAAAUGUGUAAGUAACUAUGCACGUCUUGACGGUACCUAAUCAGAAAGCCACGGCUAACUACGUG